AAAUGUGAAGGUGAUCUGGCUACAAUACCUGUUGCCCCAUUGAUCACAAAUGUAGACUUGGUGGAAUUAGAUGGCUUCCUCUCUCCCCAGUCCUUUAGGCAUCCUUCCCAAAACUGAGACCUUGGGGAAUGCAUAUAACCAUCCCAAAUGGAAGGAGUAAAUCAUUCUUCAAUUAAAGGGACUGUAUAUGAAAGCCAUGUUCCUCUACUAGAACCUCCAAACCACUUCCGUAGCACAUCCAAGAAACUGCAUAGAUGCAGGCCACAGAAGCUGAGCUUGAUCCAUCUUACUUACUAGCAAAUUUGAU
rnacentral:snRNA from 1 species